rnacentral:lncRNA from 1 species
CUUGUGCAAAGAGGAUGUAGAAGUAGUGAGAUACCACCUCAUCCGAAAUUCGACUUGAGCAAGGUGAGGGAAUGGUUAACUCUUCCAAUACUUAUCCCCAACUCUCGAGCCCGAAGUGACUUGAUGACUUUGGAUGAAAAGAGUAGUCAAUUGGUGAAGCCAUUCUUAAAUCUUCGAGAGUUUUGAAAGUGAGAUUCCGCUCGUGGCUCCAUAUUUGAUGCCAUAUCCUAGAGAUUGUGUGGAAAGUUUUGAAUUUGGGAUUAUUAUGGUGCUUCAAGUGAGACAUCAUACUUAUGAGGUGCAAGAAUCGAGGUAGCACGCCAAAAUAAUUUGAAAUAAUUUGAUCUGAGGAUCUCGAGGAUAGUGCCUUGGCUUAUCAUAGGUUG